rnacentral:rRNA from 1 species
GAAAUAGAACCUGAAACCGUGUACGUACAAGCAGUAGGAGCACCUUCGUGGUGUGACUGCGUACCUUUUGUAUAAUGGGUCAGCGACUUAUAUUCAGUGGCAAGGUUAACCAUCUAGGGGAGCCGUAGGGAAACCGAGUCUUAACUGGGCGUUCAGUCUCUGGAUAUAGACCCGAAACCAGGUGAUCUAGCCAUGGGCAGGUUGAAGGUUGAGUAACAUCAACUGGAGGACCGAACCGACUAAUGUUGAAAAAUUAGCGGAUGACUUGUGGCUAGGGGUGAAAGGCCAAUCAAACCUGGAGAUAGCUGGUUCUCCCCGAAAGCUAUUUAGGUAGCGCCUCGGACGAAUACUACUGGGGGUAGAGCACUGUUAAGGCUAGGGGGUCAUCCCGACUUACCAACCCUUUGCAAACUCCGAAUACCAGUAAGUACUAUCCGGGAGACACACGGCGGGUGCUAACGUCCGUCGGGGAAGGCUCAGACAGCCAGGAUGUUGGCUUAGAAGCAGCCAUCAUUUAAAGAAAGCGUAAUAGCUCACUGGUCGAGUCGGCCUGCGCGGAAGAUGUAACGGGGCUAAGUAGUAAACCGAAGCUGCGGCAAUGUGCUUUUGCACAUUGGGUAGGGGAGCGUUCUGUAAGCGGUUGAAGGUGUGUGGUAACGCAUGCUGGACGUAUCAGAAGUGCGAAUGCUGACAUGAGUAACGAUAAAGGGGGUGAAAAACCUCCUCGCCGGAAGACCAAGGGUUCCUGUCCAACGUUAAUCGGGGCAGGGUAAGUCGACCCCUAAGGCGAGGCCGAAAGGCGUAGUCGAUGGGAAACGGGUUAAUAUUCCCGUACUUCUUACAAUUGCGAUGGGGGGACGGAGAAGGCUAGGUGGGCCUGGCGACGGUUGUCCAGGUUCAAGUGCGUAGGCUUAAGAGUUAGGUAAAUCCGGCUCUUUUUAAGGCUGAGACACGACGUCGAGCACCUACGGGUGUGAAGUCAUUGAUGCCAUGCUUCCAGGAAAAGCCUCUAAGCUUCAGAUUGUAAGGAAUCGUACCCCAAACCGACACAGGUGGUCGGGUAGAGAAUACCAAGGCGCUUGAGAGAACUCGGGUGAAGGAACUAGGCAAAAUGGUACCGUAACUUCGGGAGAAGGUACGCUCUUGAUGGUGAAGUCCCUCGCGGAUGGAGCUGACGAGAGUCGCAGAUACCAGGUGGCUGCAACUGUUUAUUAAAAACACAGCACUGUGCAAAAUCGUAAGAUGACGUAUACGGUGUGACGCCUGCCCGGUGCCGGAAGGUUAAUUGAUGGGGUUAGACUUCGGUCGAAGCUCUUGAUCGAAGCCCCGGUAAACGGCGGCCGUAACUAUAACGGUCCUAAGGUAGCGAAAUUCCUUGUCGGGUAAGUUCCGACCUGCACGAAUGGCGUAAUGAUGGCCACGCUGUCUCCACCCGAGACUCAGUGAAAUUGAAAUCGCUGUGAAGAUGCAGUGUACCCGCGGCUAGACGGAAAGACCCCGUGAACCUUUACUACAGCUUGGCACUGAACAUUGACCCUACAUGUGUAGGAUAGGUGGGAGGCUUUGAAGCAGGUACGCCAGUAUCUGUGGAGCCGUCCUUGAAAUACCACCCUUGUAGUGUUGAUGUUCUAACGUCGACCCCUAAUCGGGGUUGCGGACAGUGCCUGGUGGGUAGUUUGACUGGGGCGGUCUCCUCCCAAAGAGUAACGGAGGAGCACGAAGGUGGGCUAAUCACGGUUGGACAUCGUGAGGUUAGUGCAAUGGCAUAAGCCCGCUUGACUGCGAGAAUGACAAUUCGAGCAGGUGCGAAAGCAGGUCAUAGUGAUCCGGUGGUUCUGAAUGGAAGGGCCAUCGCUCAACGGAUAAAAGGUACUCCGGGGAUAACAGGCUGAUACCGCCCAAGAGUUCAUAUCGACGGCGGUGUUUGGCACCUCGAUGUCGGCUCAUCACAUCCUGGGGCUGAAGUCGGUCCCAAGGGUAUGGCUGUUCGCCAUUUAAAGUGGUACGCGAGCUGGGUUUAGAACGUCGUGAGACAGUUCGGUCCCUAUCUGCCGUGGGCGUUGGAAGAUUGAAGGGGGCUGCUCCUAGUACGAGAGGACCGGAGUGGACGAACCUCUGGUGUUCGGGUUGUGUCGCCAGACGCAUU